rnacentral:lncRNA from 1 species
AUGCUGACCUUCAGUUGGUUGGACCCAUGGAUGCAGAACCCACAGACCUGGAGGGCCAGCUGUACUGAGAAAUGCAGAAAAGAAUCUGGGCAUUUCAGCAGUCACCACAGAAGAGAUGACCCCACCACACAAUGGCUGGAAGCAGGACAGCAUGUGGAAACCAUUACAGGUUUAUGGGACAAGAAUAUUCUGGCCUUUGCAAUCUUGAGAACAGGAAGAAGAAAAUCAACACAGAUCAAAUUUCUCAAGGCAUGA